GACGAACGCGGGCGGUGUGCCUAAUACAUGCAAGUAGAACGCUAAAGAGAGGAGCUUGCUCUUCUUGGACGAGUUGCGAACGGGUGAGUAACGCGUAGGUAACCUGCCUUGUAGCGGGGGAUAACUAUUGGAAACGAUAGCUAAUACCGCAUAACAAUAGGUGACACAUGUCAUUUAUUUGAAAGGGGCAAUUGCUCCACUACAAGAUGGACCUGCGUUGUAUUAGCUAGUAGGUGAGGUAACGGCUCACCUAGGCGACGAUACAUAGCCGACCUGAGAGGGUGAUCGGCCACACUGGGACUGAGACACGGCCCAGACUCCUACGGGAGGCAGCAGUAGGGAAUCUUCGGCAAUGGGGGCAACCCUGACCGAGCAACGCCGCGUGAGUGAAGAAGGUUUUCGGAUCGUAAAGCUCUGUUGUAAGUCAAGAACGAGUGUGAGAGUGGAAAGUUCACACUGUGACGGUAGCUUACCAGAAAGGGACGGCUAACUACGUGCCAGCAGCCGCGGUAAUACGUAGGUCCCGAGCGUUGUCCGGAUUUAUUGGGCGUAAAGCGAGCGCAGGCGGUUUGAUAAGUCUGAAGUUAAAGGCUGUGGCUCAACCAUAGUUCGCUUUGGAAACUGUCAAACUUGAGUGCAGAAGGGGAGAGUGGAAUUCCAUGUGUAGCGGUGAAAUGCGUAGAUAUAUGGAGGAACACCGGUGGCGAAAGCGGCUCUCUGGUCUGUAACUGACGCUGAGGCUCGAAAGCGUGGGGAGCGAACAGG
rnacentral:rRNA from 1 species